rnacentral:rRNA from 1 species
AGUGAACGCUGGCGGUAGGCCUAACACAUGCAAGUCGAACGGCAGCACAGUAAGAGCUUGCUCUUACGGGUGGCGAGUGGCGGACGGGUGAGGAAUACAUCGGAAUCUACUUUUUCGUGGGGGAUAACGUAGGGAAACUUACGCUAAUACCGCAUACGACCUACGGGUGAAAGCAGGGGAUCUUCGGACCUUGCGCGACUGAAUGAGCCGAUGUCGGAUUAGCUAGUUGGCGGGGUAAAGGCCCACCAAGGCGACGAUCCGUAGCUGGUCUGAGAGGAUGAUCAGCCACACUGGAACUGAGACACGGUCCAGACUCCUACGGGAGGCAGCAGUGGGGAAUAUUGGACAAUGGGCGCAAGGCUGAUCCAGCCAUACCGCGUGGGUGAAGAAGGCCUUCGGGUUGUAAAGCCCUUUUGUUGGGAAAGAAAAGCAGCAGGUUAAUACCCCGCUGUUCUGACGGUACCCAAAGAAUAAGCACCGGCUAACUUCGUG